rfam:Oryza nivara chromosome 6, whole genome shotgun sequence.
UUUAAAUGCAGUUGUAGGUUUCCGUGUCUAACAUUUGACCUUUCGUCUUAUUUAAAACUUUUUAUAAUUAAUAUUCUGAUAAAACAUGAAUAGUACAUUGUGAUUGGCUUUUUUUUUAAAAAAAUUAUAAUUUUUUUAAAUAAGACGAACGGUCGAAUGUUGGAUACGAAAAAUCACAACUACACUUAAA